CCUACGUGUGGCAGCAGUGGGGAAUAUUGCGCAAUGGCCGGAAGCCUGACGCAGCGACGCCGCGUGAGGGAUGAAGGUCUUCGGAUCGUAAACCUCUGUCAGCAGGGAAGAACGAUCACUGUGCUAAUCAUCAGUGAAUUGACUGUACCUGCAAAGGAAGCACCGGCUAACUCCGUGCCAGCAGCCGCGGUAAUUCGGAGGGUGCGUGCGUUAAUCGGAAUUACUGGGCGUAAAGGGCUCGUAGGCGGGACGUCAAAUCCAGGGUGAAAUCCCCGCGCUGAACGUGGGAACAGCAUUUGAAACUGGCAAACUGGAGAGGGUGAGAGGAUAGUGGAAUUCCAGGUGUAGGAGUGAAAUCCGUAGAUA
rnacentral:rRNA from 1 species